UUUCUUCUCAGAAGGAUCCUGAGUAUUUCUACUGCUAGGCUGAGGCCUGCAAGCUGCAAGAAGUGAUUCUGAUGGGCAACUCAGUGGGAAAGAAGGAAAAAUGAACAACUUGAUGCAGAGGCACCAAAAGGCAAGAGAAAUCUGUUACCAGAGAUCCUUCUGUGGUCAUCCUUUCUCAUGAGAUUUACUGUUGCUGCCACACAAUGUUUAGACCCAGGACCAUAAUAACUGAGGCUCCAAGAAGGCUUUAAAACUGAUUCUAAGCUCAUCUACCUGCUGCAACAUGCCUAGGAGAGUGUUUGCUAGUGCUGAAUGGGGCUGGGGAGGCAGAGCACUGUAGUUUCAUUUUUUGUUUUCCCUUUGCAGCAAAAGGAAAACAAUUUGCAGUUGUUUUCAGGUCCGGCACUAGUGUUUGAAGUCCCAGCAACUGAUGGAAAGUGGAGCUCUGAGUUACAGUAGGAAAAGGAUGGGCUCUGCCAAGCAGAUGCCUGCAGAACUGUCCUUAAAUGUCUGAGCUGCUGGUGCCUGGCCAAGGUCAGAGGGAGCAGAGGUUGGGCCAAAGGGUAAAUUCCAGCUGUUCUGCUCAGAGUGGUGGUUUAGGAAUGUGAUGGGCAGAGGGAUCCAAAUCUGACCAGAGCCUGCAGGGGUUUUCUAAUACCCAGUCACUUUGCCCUCUCAUUUUGCAAUCCAAAGAGGUUAGGAAAAGUAGAGAAUCUCUGCCUGCAUUUCUUUGCUAUUCAGAGAGCGUGGCCAGUGCCAGUGUGUGCUCACUUAUGUAUAGCUGCUUUAAAUUGCCUGUAUGUUCUUGUAUAGCRCAGUUUAGUGUCCUUUAGAGAUCUACAUGUUAACAACCCUGCCAACAUUCCUGCUUUGAUACUACUUCAUGACUCAAAAUAUAGCUUAGUAAAUCCUUAAAGCUGAGGAUGGACUAAACAGUGUUUUAAAAUAACUGUUUCCACUUAUAUUCUGAAAAUGGAGUGUUAAAAUGGAGAGAACAAAGUUAAGAAAUUAUCUGGAGACAGGACAAAAUGGCUUGRCACUAU